rnacentral:rRNA from 1 species
GACGAACGCUGGCGGCGUGCUUAACACAUGCGAGUCGAACGGAAAGGCCUGCUUUCCCUUGUGGAUUGCGGGUACUCGAGUGGCGAACGGGUGAGUAACACGUGAGUGAUCUGCCCCCAACUUGGGUAUAAGCCUGGGAAACUGGGUCUAAUUCCCGAUAGGACUGCAGGGUGGUGCCUGUGGUGGAAAACGAUUUUCUAGUGGUUGGGGAUGAGCUCGCGGCCUAUCAGCUUGUUGGUGGGGUAAUGGCCUACCAAGGCGGCGACGGGUAGCCGGCCUGAGAGAGUGGACGGCCACAUUGGAACUGAGAUACGGCCCAGACUCCUACGGGAGGCAGCAGUGGGGAAUAUUGCACAAUGGGCGGAAGCCUGAUGCAGCGACGCCGCGUGGGGGAUGACGGCCUUCGGGUUGUAAACUCCUUUCGACCGCGAGGAAGCCACCUGGUUGGAAGGGUGGUGACGGUAGUGGUAGAAGAAGCACCGGCUAACUACGUG